rnacentral:tmRNA from 1 species
GGGGUCGACUGGUUUUGACAGCAAGAUUCAUGAAAACGUAAGCAAGUCGAGCGCUGAAUUAUAGCUCGUAAAUCUCAUUUUUCAAAAUUUAAAUGGCGAGAAUAACUACGCUCUAGCUGCAUAAUAACAGAAUUUUAGUAAGUUAAUGCUAAGUCCUGACAAGGUCAGGAAGCUGGAUGUCUCUAAAUAGCCCUUGUUGACGGCGAUUUGUAUUGAGGCACCAUAAAAGUCAACAAUGAAAUUCUGAGUGCAUCAUCAGAGUUUUUUAAUUAAGAUGCUAAGGUCUAUAUGGGCAGUUUUCGGUCAGUAUGGAUUCGAAAAUUAAACGAAAUCUAAACUUGUAGAAAGCUUUUUUAUCACUUGUUUGGACGCGGGUUCGAAUCCCGCCGACUCCACUC